rnacentral:lncRNA from 1 species
GGUCACUUCCCAGCCCUUGACAGCCAACAAAGUUUGACACAGAAAAAGAAAACAAAGACAAAAACAAAAAAACCCUUGGCCCAGUUGCUCUGAGAAGCCCUCAGUAAACAAAGAGGAAAUCGGUUCUUCAUGGCUGCAGAAGAGAAGAAGUGAUUCCAGUUAGACAGCAGGAGGGACUUAUAGAGAGGAACUAGGCAGCAGGGGAAUUCCUCAUCAGAGUCAGGAAAUGACAUAGUGGUCCCGGUAGUCAGCUCCCAGGGCUAAGCUCUGGGAAAGAAGCAAGCCUGUGAGGGGCAGGCUCAGUUCCCACAGUUCCUGCACAGGGGAGCCAUUGUCUCCUGGAAGAGACAUGUCACACCCUUGGGUCAACAGCCAAAUGUGAAGAUGGUGUUUGGUUCCUCUGCUGCAGAUAUUUACUGUGUGAGAUUCUGCUGGGAUGAGGACGGCUGCAGCUGGGAACUCAGCUCCUCCCCUCCUGGACCAGGGCUGCAGGGAGAGACAAUGGACAGACACCUCACUGAGGGGGAGGUUCCUGGGAUGACCAGCCUGAAGCACCAAGCCCAGCUCGGUGUGUACGUAGGU